rnacentral:rRNA from 1 species
UGAAGUAAGUAAGGGCGUACGGUGAAUGCCUUGGUGCCAACAGGCGAAGAAGGACGCGGCAAGCUGCGAAAAGCCUCGGGAAGCUGCAAGCAAGCGAUGAUCCGGGGAUAUCCGAAUGGGGUAACCUGAUCGAGGCAAUACUCGAUCGUUCAUACCUGAAUACAUAGGGUAUGAAACGCGAAACCCGCUGAAGUGAAACAUCUCAGUAAGCGGAGGAAAAGAAAGAGAAAUCGAUUCCGUAAGUAGUGGCGAGCGAAAGCGGAUGGAGCCCAAACCGAAGGUAUUCCUUCGGGGUUGUAGGACCACGUCAUAUUCGACCAUACUGGAUAGUAGAACAGCCUGGAAAGGCUGGCCGGAGAAGGUGAAAGCCCUGUAGACGAAAUCCAGAGUGGGAAUUAGUGGUAUCCUGAGUAAUACAUCACACGUGGAACGAUGUAUGAACCCGCGCGGACCACCGCGCAAGGCUAAAUACUAGUUGGCGACCGAUAGUGAACAAGUACCGCGAGGGAAAGGUGAAAAGAACCGCUGUGAGCGGAGUGAAAUAGAACCUGAAACCGUAUGUCUACAAAGUGUCAGAGCAGAGCAAUCUGCGAUGGCGUGCCUUUUGUUUAAUGAGUCUGCGAGUCAGUGUUUGUGGCAAGACUAAGGGCUUCCGGCCCGGAGUCGCAGCGAAAGCAAGUCCGAACAGGGCGCAAUAAGUCGCAGGUACUGGACCCGAAGCGGAGGUGACCUACCCUUGGCCAGGUUGAAGCAUGGGUAAAACCAUGUGGAGGACCGAACAGGUGAACGUUGAAAAGUUCUCUGAUGAGCUGAGGGUAGGAGUGAAAGGCUAAUCAAACCCCGUGAUAGCUGGUUCUCUUCGAAAUGCAUUUAGGUGCAGCGUCACGUGCUGAUGCGCGGGGGUAGAGCACUGACAAGGCUAGGGGGCACACCCGCUUACCAAACCUUAUCAAACUCCGAAUACCGUGCAAUGGAACGUGGCAGUGAGACAGUGGGGGAUAAGCUUCAUUGUCGAGAGGGAAACAACCCAGACCAGCAGCUAAGGUGCCUAAAUAACGCUCAGUGGAAAGGAUGUGGGAUUACACAGACAGUGAGGAUGUUGGCUUAGAAGCAGCCACCAUUUAAAAAAUGCGUAAUAGCUUACUCAUCGAGUGAUCCUGCGCCGAAAAUGAUUGGCGAUCAAGCGUUAUACCGAAGCUCUGGACUUUGCCGCAAGGCAGAGUGGUAGAAGAGCGUUGCAUGCGCGUCGAAGGGCGAUGGCGACUGACCCUGGAGCACAUGCAAGUGAGUAUGCAGACAUGAGUAACGUUAAGCCGGGUGAAAUCCCCGGCCGCCGUAAACCCGAGGUUUCCAGGGCAACGUGUUUCGUCCCUGGGUUAGCCGGGACCUAAGCCGAGGCCGAGAGGCGUAGGCGAUGGACAUCAGGUUAAUAAUCCUGAGCUCGCAACCCUUAAACUGGGGGGACGCAUGAGAAAAGAUGACUAGGUUAUUGAAUUCCGAGUUGAGUCCACGGACUCAGCGCAUCAUUGGAUCGAGUGCCAAGAAAAGCCCCAGCGUAUGCUAAGCGACCCGUACCGCAAACCGACACAGGUGGGUGGGUAGAAUAUACCAAGGCGUAAGAGUGAAACCUGGUUAAGGAACUCGGCAAAUUAGCCCCGUAACUUCGGAAGAAGGGGUGCCUGCAGCGAUGCAGGCCGCAGAGAAAUGGCCCAACCGACUGUUUAUCAAAAACACAGCACUCUGCAAAGACGCAAGUCGAAGUAUAGGGUGUGACACGUGACCAAUGCCGAAAGAUUAAGGCAAGGGGUUAGCCGCAAGGCGAAGCUCUAAACCCAAGUCCCGGUGAAUGUCGGCCGUAACUAUAACGGUCCUAAGGUAGCGAAAUUCCUUGUCGGGUAAGUUCCGACC